AAUAUCGAUGAAAAUAUGUAUUGAUAUUAUGUUACAUUAUGUUGUUUACAUGCGGCGAAUACCGGAGAUAUUCUAUGUGAAUUGUACGAACCAUCAACUAGCAAUGAAUAUCGUGCCGAGAUUCAUGACUUUAUUCUACAACUUAUUCAAAACCCAUUGUCAUUUACAUCGUACGGCUUCUUUGAUCUCGGCUAUUCAUUAAUACAUAGUGUCAUCGGUACUGUAACGACUUAUCUCGUUAUUCUCAUACAAAUUGGGAACACAACACCACAAAUUUUCUUUGAUAAUUCGACACUAACCACUAAUCAUUUCUGAGAAAUUUAAUAGC